UGGGGAAUAUUGCACAAUGGGGGAAACCCUGAUGCAGCGACGCCGCGUGAGCGAAGAAGGUUUUCGAAUCGUAAAGCUCUGUCCUAUGAGAAGAUAAUGACGGUAUCAUAGGAGGAAGCCCCGGCUAAAUACGUGCCAGCAGCCGCGGUAAUACGUAUGGGGCGAGCGUUGUCCGGAAUUAUUGGGCGUAAAGGGUGCGUAGGUGGUCUUUCAAGUCGGUGGUUAAAGGCUACGGCUCAACCGUAGUUAGCCUCCGAAACUGGAAGACUUGAGUGCAGGAGAGGAAAGUGGAAUUCCCAGUGUAGCGGUGAAAUGCGUAGAUAUUGGGAGGAACACCAGUAGCGAAGGCGGCUUUCUGGACUGCAACUGACACUGAGGCACGAAAGCGUGGGUAGCAAACAGG
rnacentral:rRNA from 1 species